UGCGAGGGGGGCGAGCGUUGUUCGGAAUUAUUGGGCGUAAAGGGUGCGUAGGCGGUUUGGUAAGUCUUGUGUGAAAUCUACAGGCUCAACUUGUAGUCUGCACGAGAAACUGCCGGGCUUGAGUAUGGGAGAGGUGAGUGGAAUUCCUGGUGUAGCGGUGAAAUGCGUAGAUAUCAGGAGGAACACCUGUGGCGAAAGCGGCUCACUGGACCAUAACUGACGCUGAGGCGCGAAAGCUAGGGGAGCAAACAGG
rnacentral:rRNA from 1 species